rnacentral:rRNA from 1 species
AGCAGCCGCGGUAAUUCCAGCUCCAAUAGCGUAUAUUAAAGUUGUUGCAGUUAAAAAGCUCGUAGUUGAACCUUUGGCCUGGCUGGCAGGUCCGCCUCACCGCGUGCACUUGUCCGGCCGGGCCUUUUCUUCUGGAGAACCGCAUGCCCUUCACUGGGUGUGUUGGGGACCAGGACUUUUACUUUGAAAAAAUUAGAGUGUUCAAAGCAGGCCUUUGCUCGAAUACGUUAGCAUGGAAUAAUAGAAUAGGACGUGCGGUCCUAUUUUGUUGGUUUCUAGGACCGCCGUAAUGAUUAAUAGGGACAGUCGGGGGCAUCAGUAUUCAAUUGUCAGAGGUGAAAUUCUUGGAUUUAUUGAAGACUAACUACUGCGAAAGCAUUUGCCAAGGAUGUUUUCAUUAAUCAGUGAACGAAAGUUAGGGGAUCGAAGACGAUCAGAUACCGUCGUAGUCUUAACCAUAAACUAUGCCGACUAGGGAUCGGGCGGUGUUUCUAUUGUGACCCGCUCGGCACCUUACGAGAAAUCAAAGUGUUUGGGUUCUGGGGGGAGUAUGGUCGCAAGGCUGAAACUUAAA